UACAGAGGGUGCGAGCGUUAAUCGGAAUUACUGGGCGUAAAGGGUGCGUAGGUGGUUUGAUAAGUUAGGUGUGAAAGUUCUGGGCUUAACCUGGAGAUUGCGCUUAAGACUGUCGAGCUAGAGUCCUGUAGAGGAAGGCGGAAUUUCUGGUGUAGCAGUGAAAUGCGUAGAUAUCAGAAGGAACAUCAGUGGCGAAGGCGGCUUUCUGGACAGAGACUGACACUGAGGCACGAAAGCGUGGGGAGCGAACAGG
rnacentral:rRNA from 1 species